UUAUGGAGCCAAAAACACACACGCUCGUCAACUUUCGAUUACAGAAACUACGCAAUAUACCGAAACAAGAUUUUAAAGGUGUAUAUAUAUAGCAUCAGCCAUCUCGACUCAUCGACACCACUCGAAAGACCCUCACAAACUCACGCCCAACACCUCUCACAACCCCACAUCAUUUCGAACACCUUACACCCUUUGCCGGAAUCGGAGUUACGUCGGAACCAAAACCUCCAAAACUACACUCAAACUCGCCGGAAAACUUGCACAUAGCCGGAACCUCGCCGGAGAAGACGACCGGCCCGGGUAAUCUUCUUGCGCUCGUUGCAACUCUUGCAAUUUAUUGGACAACUCUUUCUCUUAUUCUCUUACCAAGAAACGCAACGCACUCUAAGGAUGAUUUAUCAAGAUACAAGAAAGCAAGCUAGGACGGCCUAGAAACUCAUUUUAGAAAUAAACUAUUGUUUGAAUUUAUAUUUGGAUGUUGAAACUUUGUAUUAUCCUUUAGAAUCUAAUAAAAUGAUUUAAUUUAUAUUGUCA